rnacentral:rRNA from 1 species
ACGCUGGCGGCACGCCUAACACAUGCAAGUCGAACGAAGUAGCAAUACUUAGUGGCAGACGGGUGAGUAACAUGUGGGUAUCUGCCCUUUGGCCUGGAAUAACACGAGGAAACUUGUGCUAAUACCGGAUAAGUCUUUACGGAGAAAGCUUUAUGCACCAUUGGAUGAGCCUGCACUUGAUUAGUUUGUUGGUGGGGUAAUGGCCUACCAAGACUGUGAUCAAUAGCUGAUUUGAGAGGAUGAUCAGCCACAUUGGGACUGAGACACGGCCCAAACUCCUACGGGAGGCAGCAGUGGGGAAUCUUGCACAAUGGAGGAAACUCUGAUGCAGCGAUGCCGCGUGAGUGAAGAAGGCCCUUGGGUUGUAAAGCUCUUUCGUCGGGGAAGAAAAUGACUGUACCCGAAUAAGAAGGUCCGGCUAACUUCGUGCCAGCAGCCGCGGUAAUACGAAGGGACCUAGCGUAGUUCGGAAUUACUGGGCUUAAAGAGUUCGUAGGUGGUUGAAAAAGUUAGUGGUGAAAUCCCAGAGCUUAACUCUGGAACUGCCAUUAAAACUUUUCAGCUAGAGUAUGAUAGAGGAAAGCAGAAUUUCUAGUGUAGAGGUGAAAUUCGUAGAUAUUAGAAAGAAUACCAAUUGCGAAGGCAGCUUUCUGGAUCAUUACUGACACUGAGGAACGAAAGCAUGGGUAGCGAAGAGGAUUAGAUACCCUCGUAGUCCAUGCCGUAAACGAUGUGUGUUAGACGUUGGAAAUUUAUUUUCAGUGUCGCAGGGAAACCGAUAAACACACCGCCUGGGGAGUACGACCGCAAGGUUAAAACUCAAAUGAAUUGACGGGGACCCGCACAAGUAGUGGAGCAUGUGGUUUAAUUCGAAGAUACGCGCAAAACCUUACCAACACUUGACAUGUUCGUCGCGACUCUAAGAGAUUAGAGUUUUCGGUUCGGCCGGACGAAACACAGGUGCUGCAUGGCUGUCGUCAGCUCGUGUCGUGAGAUGUUGGGUUAAGUCCCGCAACGAGCGCAACCCUCACUUUUAGUUGCCAUCAUUAAGUUGGGCACUCUGAAAGAACUGCCAGUGAUAAGCUGGAGGAAGGUGGGGAUGACGUCAAGUCCUCAUGGCCCUUACGUGUUGGGCUACACACGUGCUACAAUGGUAUCUACAACAGGAAGCAAGACGGCGACGUCAAGCAAAUCCCUAAAAGAUACCUCAGUUCGGAUUGCACUCUGCAACUCGAGUGCAUGAAGCUGGAAUUACUAGUAAUCGUGGAUCAGCGUGCCACGGUGAAUGCGUUCCCGGGUCUUGUACACACCGC